AUUGAACGCUGGCGGCAGGCCUAACACAUGCAAGUCGAGCGGAUGAAGGGAGCUUGCUCCUGGAUUCAGCGGCGGACGGGUGAGUAAUGCCUAGGAAUCUGCCUGGUAGUGGGGGAUAACGUCCGGAAACGGGCGCUAAUACCGCAUACGUCCUGAGGGAGAAAGUGGGGGAUCUUCGGACCUCACGCUAUCAGAUGAGCCUAGGUCGGAUUAGCUAGUCGGUGGGGUAAAGGCCUACCAAGGCGACGAUCCGUAACUGGUCUGAGAGGAUGAUCAGUCACACUGGAACUGAGACACGGUCCAGACUCCUACGGGAGGCAGCAGUGGGGAAUAUUGGACAAUGGGCGAAAGCCUGAUCCAGCCAUGCCACGUGUGUGAAGAAGGUCUUCGGAUUGUAAAGCACUUUAAGUUGGGAGGAAGGGCAGUAAGUUAAUACCUUGCUGUUUUGACGUUACCAACAGAAUAAGCACCGGCUAACUUCGUG
rnacentral:rRNA from 1 species